UACGUAGGGGGCGAGCGUUGUCCGGAAUUAUUGGGCGUAAAGCGCUCGCAGGCGGUCCCGUGCGUCGUGCGUGAAAGCCCCCGGCUCAACCGGGGAACGGCGCGGGAAACUAGCAGGCUUGAGUUCGGGAGAGGGAAGCGGAAUUCCGGGUGUAGCGGUGAAAUGCGCAGAUAUCCGGAGGAACACCGGUGGCGAAGGCGGCUUCCUGGACCGACACUGACGCUGAGGCGCGAAAGCUAGGGGAGCAAACGGG
rnacentral:rRNA from 1 species